rnacentral:lncRNA from 1 species
GUCCUCUUGCAGAGCUCUUUUCGUCAUCUGCGCAAUGGCAGGAAUGAGACGGAAACCAGUGAAGCGUUCCUCGCAGGGCCUGGACUUAUCUUGGAUAACAUUUGCAGUGACCUUAUGAGGUAAGGAUGGCCACUUGGAACCCUUGAAGCUGUGAGUCCCCUUGACUUCCUCCCAGGCACUGCCCUCCCAGAAGUGAAGGUACCAGGAGGCAGAGGAAACAGUAGCACCACGGUGCCAUCCUGGAUCCAACGGAGCAGGUGACAGACAGCAGGGGUCACAGGCAGGCCAACUUGGACUGAGGAAAAAAAAGUCGCAGGAAAGCAGCUGGGCAUCCUGCCUUGCUUCGCCCUUGGACUUCUGCAGGGUCCGUUUGCCCUUUGUUUGACUCCCAGACCCCACUGAGCUGGGAACCAACCAGUGGGCUGGAAGCCCAGGAUGGGGUGGCCCACCUAGUAGGGACGACAUUUACUUGCACAAAAGAUGGUCUCCAGGAGCCCCUUCAGGACCGAAGCAGGGAAACACUGUCGCCCUGGAGAGCUGGGAGAGGGGGAGGCAGCAGCAGUCGCUGGCCAGAGAGGGGCGAAACAGAGCUCAGGGUCCCUGCAGCGGGUGGGGGAAGCUCAGGUCCAGGUGGGCUUUGUGUUCCUUGAGGUUCUCCGCCAAGGUUCUGCUUCAUCAGGCCUCUGCCGAGUUCUCUGGCCUCACCUGUCCACCGCUGCUCCGUGCAGCCACCUUUCCCCUGCUCCCCAAGGUGCGUCCAUUUCUGAGUUUCCCUCCUCUGGACCUGUGACCAUGCCAUCCCUCCUGCCUGGACUGCCUCCCAGUCUCUCAGUAGUACCACCUCCAGGUUCAGCUUGUGGUUCCGGCUGGUGGGUGUGCCACAGCCAGACGCUGUGCUCAGCGGGGAUACCCUAACCCUGGGUGAUCUGGGGUCACUCCCGUCAACCUGGGGGGCUCUGCAGGCAGGGAAGAGCCUCCUGGGUCUCUGCUCCAGCCCUGGCUUUACACAAAUGUGCCUGAGAAAACACGGUGUCCUGACACCUGGCCUCAUGCCACCUGGUGACGGCAUCUGAGCCAUCACCAGUGAUCAUUCACCCCUUUUCCCUUUUCCAGACAGCACGAAAAUCCAACACGCCCCUCACCGGAGGACUGGGAGGCUCCCGCGUUUUGGAUUCUGAAAAGCACUCCCUCGUUCACGUCUGCCUGGAUUCGCGCCCUCAAGCCCCCUGGCGCCCACUUUUCUUGCUCUCCAAACACUCGUUGAGGCCCGAGAGGGAGAUGCGAAGUUUGCCCACCACUGCGCGUCCCUCCUCCGCGAGGCGCCAAUGGGCCUGAGUCAGGGGCCUCCCCUUCAUCCGCUGGUCCCUCCCCUGUUCCCAGCUCCAGUUCCUCACCCGCUAUGGCUGGCCUGGCGCCUGUGGCCGUUCACCGUCUGCGAGGCAUCUGCGGGGACUGAAGUCGGGGAGGCAGCGGCGGGCUCUGGCAGAUACCAGGAGAUCCCGCCCCUCGGCCCGGGAGACCCCGCCCCUCGGCCACGCCCCUUUCCGCUCCCCACCCCGCCCUCUUGGGCCCCCCACCCGGCCCAGCCAGACAGAGACCUGCCUCCAGGUGGGUGGGAGGAGACCUUCAGUCCCUCGCCCCGGGCCUGUUGUCACUACCUCCCCCAAACACAUUGGUUAAAGUCACCCGAUUAGAAGGGGCCACCUGUGAGACUUGGAUCCAAAGCAAACUAGCGGAAGCUGAAGGGUCUUGGGGCUUCCCAGGCCUCUCGGAGGCCGGGAUGGUCGUGGAGGAGGGAGCGCUCAGUGCCUGGCCUACUGCCUGCCCUGAGCCGGCUCCCUACAGGACGCUUCUCCUGUACCUUCCACCUGCUGCGAGGAAGGGCUGGGGGCAGGCGUACCCAUUUUCCAGAGGAGAACUGAAGGCUCUCACCCCGGGUUAGGCCAGUGGCCGGAGGCAGAGCCGGGCCUUGAACCUGGCUUUCUGGAUCUUCAUCCAGGCCAUUCUAAAGGGGAUCACAGUUUCCAGGAGUCACUCCUGAAGAUGGUCAAGUACCAUGGAGGGGCAGGGCAUCCAUGGACCCUGAUUUGAGGCCCCGGAGCAGUUGGGACUGGUUUGGGCCACGGCUGGCCUAAUCUCCCCUCCACAGAGCCUGGGCAUUGUCCAGUUGGCAGCCAAGAGCCAUCUAUCCACUUUACAGCGGGCAGCUUUGACAGGCUGCUUGUUUCCAAGGACAAAGCCUGCAGGCUGUGGGUAGGCGAUAGCCACUGCGGACCUCGGGCUCAUUGCCUGGGUACAGGGGGUGGGGAGCCUGAGGUCUGCCAGGACCCAAGGGAGCCUCGAGGGUGGCCUGAGGACAUUGGGUCCUCACUCCUGGCCCCUCAGCCAACCCCCUCAUAGCCCAGGGCCAGGAAUUUUGGAAGGAAGAACCAGCCACUGGGAUGUUUUCACUUUUGGGUCACCCUGAUCCCCCCAGAAUCGAGGCUUGGCCAUCAGCCAGCUUUUAUGUGACCCAGGCAGCUCUCUCCACUCUGUUUCUUCUUCUACAGAAUGUUGAGAAUCACCUCUUUCUCUCAGGGACAUAAAGCAUGGCUGUGAGAGAGAUUUGUUUCUAGGAUGCUUUCCCUGACCUCCACUUAAAUUGGCUCAGGAGUUCCCUGAUCUCCACAAAUGUCAGGAACUUGUCCACCCGCCUGCCCCCAGCACCCAGGUUACACCUGACAAAAUGAUCUGUGACAUGCCUGGCCUGGAGCCUGGCACACAGCAGGUGCUCAGUAAAUACAUAUUUGGCCGGGCGCGAUGACUCACGUCUGUAACCCCAUCACUUUGGGAGGCCGAGGUGGAUGGAUCACCUGAGGUCACGUGUUUGAGACCAUCCUGGCCAACAUGGCGGAACCCUGUCUCUACUAAAAAUACAAAAAUUAGCUGGUUGUGGUGGCGCGUGCCUGUAAUCCCAGCUGCUGGGGAGGCUGAGGCAGGAGAACCUGGGAGGCGGAGGUUGCAGUGAGCCAAGAUCAUGCCAUCACACUCCAGCCUGGGUGACAGAACAAGGCUCAGUCUCAAAAUGAAUACAUACAUACAUACCUAUUUGUAUUAGGAGGAGAAAACCAAGAACCAGAGAAGAGAAGAGAAGGGAAGGGACCUGUGGCCACAUAGCAAGGCCAUGGCACAGCCGAAGUCUCCUCUGCUUUCCUCAUGCAGCCCCGUCCAACCCAUCUCUUUCAUCUCUUUUCUUAAAACUUAAAAAUAUUUUCAGGGGGGUGUGGUGGCUCAUGCCUAUAAUCCCAGCAAUUUGGGAGGAUGAGAUGGGAGGAUUGCUUGAGCCCGGGAGUUUGAGGCUGCAGUGAGCCACUGUAGUCCAGCCGGGGUGACACAGCCAGACUCCAUCUUUUUCUCUGUAUAUUUUUUCACCUCUACCUGAUGUGACUGAGUAACUGCUGGGGUACAUCACCUCUUUCAGGUGAUGGAAAUGUUCUAAAGUUGAUUAUGCUGAUGGUUGGUUGCCCAGCUGUGAAUGCAGUAAAAACAUUGAGCCGUACACUUUAAAUGGACAAGUUAUGUGUGAAUUAUAUCUCAAUAAAGCUCUGUGCCCCACCCAAAUCUCCUGUCAAACUGUGAUUCAUAGCGUUGGAAGUGGGGCCGGGUGGAAGGUGACUAGAUCAUGGGGGCGGAUCCUUCAUAAAUGAU